rnacentral:lncRNA from 1 species
CAACCCAGGAGGGAGAUCUCACUGGCCCUGGCAGGUGGAGGGGCUGAAGGAGAUGCGGCUGGAGGCAACUGUAUCAAAGAGCACAGGACCAGCACAUUGCCAACCUGGCAGGAAGUUCAGCUGGACAGUGCUGCUCCAGAGCAAUGAUACAUCUGGUGCCUCCUGACAUAUCCAUGACCCACUUCUGAGGGCAGCCACAGCUGCAGUGGAGAGUUCUGGCAGGCUCCUCAUUCAGAGGAAGUGGGGCCCCUGGGACAGCCCUCAGCCAGUGAGGGGCUGGAGUCUGGAGAAACGUCUCAGCUUCACCCUGCAGAGGAAUAACUCCAGAGACCAAAAACCCUCCCUGGUCAGAAGCAGUUUCAUCUGAGUGACAGUGCUGGCAUCCAGGAGCUCUGCUCUUCAAGCCAUGAUCGGAGAAAAAGAUCAGGACAGAAGCCCUUGCAGAUGAAGUUUCAAGGUCUCACCAGUGGGCCAUGGGAAAAGAUCGUCUUCUUGGCCUAAAGUCUGUAAAGGAGAAGCUCAUGUCUGUCUUCAUCAUUGUACCUCAAGUGUCAAGCUUGGCACAUAACAGUUGCUCAGUAAAUACCUGCUGAAUUGAUGAAUGGAUGGCUGUUCUCCACUCUUACUCUUUACCCAAGUCUGACAUUUUCUUUCACUGACCCAUUGUGAGCUACCCGAGACUUUAUAUGUCAUGAACAUACAAUAGUUGUGUGAUACUUUGAAACAGAAAGUGGAGCAUCUUGUGUUCUCCAUCAAAAUACAAUUUUACUUAAGAUGUUCAUAGGUCUGAGAGCCAGGAGGAUCAGGGCAACUAUGGAGGAGUUUAUCAUCCUCUGCUUUCUCCUACCUUGCUGGCUGAGCUCAGCAAUGUAGUUUCACAGGCAGAAACCCUGGAAAGUCCUGCCCCAAAGUGAAGCCUGUGUUCAGAGCCCAGCUGUCAGGACAAUGCCUUUCACAAGAUGCUCAAAGGCGCUUUGAGGAACCAGACUCCCUAGGACUUGCAGUAGCAGCCUUUGCCUAACUCCUGGCAUCAUGGAGAAAGAGCAGCUCUUGGGAAUUUGGACAAAGGGAAAUGGCCAAGCUUCUGUGGGCAUCUUGAAGUUAGCACAUACGCCUGAGGGGUUACUGGGGAGCUAGCAAAAGGGAAGAGAGAACAGGUGUGUGCGCAGGAGAUCUGCAAAGCAGGUGAUCAGA